AACGAACGCUGGCGGCAGGCCUAAAACAUGCAAGUCGAACGAACCUUCGGGUUAGUGGCGCACGGGUGCGUAACGCGUGGGAAUAUACCUCUGGGUGCGGAACUACGUCUGGAAACGAACGCUAAUACCGCAUAAUAUCUACGGAUCAAAGAUUUAUCGCCCAGAGAUUAGCCCGCGUCGUAUUAGCAAGUUGGGGAGGUAAUGGCUCACCAAGGCGACGAUCAGUAGCUGGUCUGAGAGGAUGAUCAGCCACACUGGAACUGAAACACGGUCCAGACCCCUACGGGAGGCAGCAGUUGGGAAUAUUGGAAAAUGGGGGAAACCCUGAUCCAGCCAUGCCGCGUGAGUGAAGAAGGCCUUAGGGUUGUAAAGCUCUUUCGGCUGUGAAGAUAAUGACAGUAGCAGAAGAAGAAGCUCCGGCUAAAUUCGUGCCAGCCGCCGCCGUAA
rnacentral:rRNA from 1 species